UAAAAAUUCUCAACACUGAAUUUUUAAGACACCAAUUACACACAUUAAAUGGAACCAAAUUUUUGUCCGAAUAAUUUAAAAAUAUUCACAAAAAAUUCAAGAUUCAAUUGAGCAAGUAACUUUUGGUGCAAGCAGCUGAUUCGAUUUUGUAGGCGAAUGUCGAAGGCGCGCGCCAAACGACGAAAACACGCAUCACAAACUGAGGGAGACCGCUAUCAGCCGGAGUGAAGUGAAGUUGGUAAUAUAUGAAUUUAUUGUGUGAUUGAUGUAUAGAUGGCGUGAUAAUAAAAAGCAAAUACACAAUCCAAUAUGGAUUUUUCAACUGGUACGUACUUCAUGUAUGUUGAUUUUGACAUUUCAUCCAGCUGUCAGCUGGAUGUGUUUACAAAUUCAACGGUAGGUUGUCAACAGGAGAGGAGUCGGAAAUUACAUUUAACAUUUGAAACAGCCGUUACAAAUAAAAUUUUUAA